CAUGAACGGGAACAGGUAACCUUGUGUUGCAUGUCUCGACGCUUCAAAUGUCCGUCCGAUCCCAAACGGAAUUUGGGGGCGUCACACUCCCAAUCCUGUAUCACCCUACCGAAAUGAAUAUUCCAAACAAUUCGUCCCUCCAUCACCUCCAUAGCAUCCUUCACUGAAAUAUUCUUUGCACUCGCCAGUUGGAAGAGAGAUGGAUACACAUCUUUUAAGGCCCGACAAUCACACCACACAUCGCUCCAAAAUUUAAUCCUGGAUCCUGUACCCACCUGAAACUUAACAAAACGGUUAAACACCUCCCAGCCUCUUCCAAUGUUUUUCCACAACCCGACUCCAUGAGCCCCCUUUACUUCUCUCGUGCUCCACUCUCCCCAUAAGCCGCCAUACUUUUUUUCUAUAACCAUUUUCCAUAGGGCGUCUGGUUCUCUGGGGUAUCUCCAUAACCAUUUGCCUAAUAGUGCCCGAUUAAACACCCUUAGGUUUCUAACACCCAAACCUCCCCCCUGGAUUGACUUACAUACCUGUUUCCACUUGACCAAGUGAAACUUGAACUCAUCUCCCAAGCCUCCCCACAGAAAAUCUCGUUGAAGCUUCUCAAUACGGACUGCUACACUUGCUGGAAUUGGAAAAAGAGAUAAGAAAUAUGCAGGUAGAUUAGAUAAUGUGCUUUUUAUCAAGGUGAUCCUACCACCUUUAGACAAGUACAUUCUUUUCCACCCUGCCAGUCGCCGCUCAAUUUUCUCAAACACCAUAUCCCAUAUAGAAGUAGCCCUUGAAGCACUCCCCAAAGGCAGUCCCAGAUAGGUCAUAGGAAGAGAAGCAACCUUACAACCCAGCGUUCGUGCCAAUAGCCGGGUGUUUGGAACCGACCCAAUUGGCACCAAUUCUGAUUUAUCCAGAUUCACCUUCAACCCAGAGACAGCCUCAAAACAGAACAGUACAACCUUUAGUGCUUGAAUCUGCCUAUAUUCAGCUUCACACAUGAUCAGUGUAUCAUCUGCAAAUAAUAAGUGGGAAAUAUCAAUGAUGCCCCUGCUUGGGGUUCCAAUCGGGAAACCUGCAAUAACACCAUUCACCACCAGUGCCGAUAUCAUCCUGCUUAGCGCCUCCAUGACCAUGACAAACAGCAAAGGAGAUAAUGGAUCCCCUUGUCUCAAACCACGUGAACUCUGAAAAAAUCCCACUGAAGUUCCGUUCAAUAGUACCGAAAAUUUUGCCGAAGAAAUACACCAACAAAUCCAGGCCUUCCACCGCUCCCCAAAACCACACCUCCUUAAUAAGUGUAAAAGGAAAUCCCAGUUAACAUGAUCAUACGCCUUCUCCAUAUCAAGUUUGCACAUGAUUCCUGUUUUCCUGGCGUUUAGUCGACUGUCGAGGCAUUCAUUGGCAAUUAGCACUGCAUCUAGGAUCUGUCUUCCUUUAACAAAAGCAUUUUGGGGUUGAGUAACAAUCUUACCCAUCACCUCACUUAGUCUAUUCGCAAGUACCUUGGAUAUUAUCUUAUACACCCCACUCACUAGACUGAUAGGCCUAAAAUCCUUAAUCUCCGUCGCUCCCACCUUCUUAGGUAUCAAAGCUAAGAAAGUGGCAUUAAGGCUUUUUUCGAAUCUUCCCACCCUGAAAAACUCCUGGAAGACUUUCAUUAGAUCUUCCUUAAUAACACCCCAACAGUCUUGGAAGAAACCCAUAGAGAAUCCAUCCGGUCCUGGUGCCUUGUCCUUAGCCAUUUUCCUCACAACUUCAUAGAUCUCUCUCUCUUCAAAUUCCCUUUCUAAAUGUGCUGCGUCAUUCAGACCAAUGGUAUUAAAAUCCAGCCCAUUCAGAGGAGGCCGUCAUCCCGCCUGUUCCUUUAGCAAGUUCUCAUAAUAUCCCACAACAUGAUUGUGGAUUUCCUGUUCAUCUCUGCACUCCAUUCCAUCCACCUUCAACAUCUCAAUGUUGUUAUUUCUCCUAUGUGAGUUUGCUAUUCUGUGGAAAAAGCCCGUGCACCGAUCCCCUUCCCUCAACCAUAAUGCUCUUGAUUUUUGACGCCACAACACCUCCUCUAAUAGGAUCAACUUUUCAAUUUCUGCACCCAGCUCAAGCUUUCUAUCUUUUUCUGUCUGUGUGAGGUGUUGUACCUCUUGAAGUCUCUCAAUCGCCUGAAGUUCCGCCAGCUUUGCUUUUUUGGUUUCCCUUACAUUGCCAAACAAUUCCAAGUUCCAAGUUUGAAUAUCCUUUUUAAGAGCUUUCAAUUUUGCCACAAAAAUGAAACUCGGGGUUCCUUGAAACUGAUAGGAGGACCACCAUUGUUUAACCCUAUCCAUGAAACCUUCUGAUUUUAGCCACAUAUUCUCAAAUUUAAACGGCCGAUGACCCUUCCGAAUACCUCCACAGUCUAUCAUAAUUGGCCAAUGGUCCGAGCCAAUACGGGCUAGCCACUUCUACCAAACCUCCGGAAAAUGACUUUCCCAUUCCGGUGAAAUGAGAAAACGAUCCAAUCGGGACCAGGACUGAAUAUUCGACCAGGUAGCGGUACCCCCAGCUAUAGGCAGGUCUACCAAAUUCAAGUCGAAAAUGCACUCUAAGAAAGCCUCCAUUGCUGGUCGUAAUCUUCUGCUUCCCGAUGCUUCACUUGGGAAUCUCACGACAUUGAAAUCUCCCCCUAUACACCAGGGGAGAUCCCACACACUGUGAAUCCCGGCAAGUUCAUCCCAUAGCAAGUUUUUUUCAGAAUCUGAAUUGGCACCAUAAACACCUGCAAAAGCCCAACGAUAGUUAUCGGCUAUACUCUGAAACGAGCAUGCCACCAUAUAAUUACCAAUAAAUUCCUCCACCCUUUCUACCACACGUCUAUCCCACAAAACCACAAUUCCUCCUGAAGCUCCAUUAGAGGCCAAAUAAGCCCAAUCAACAUGUACACCACUCCAUAAACUUCGCACUAUUUCUCUAUCCAUACAUUUCAAUUUAGUUUCUUACAAACACACAAUAUCCGCUUUCCAUUCCCUAAUCAUAUUUCUAAUCCGCAGGCGCUUAUCCCCCUCAUUAAGCCCACGAACGUUCCAUGACACAAUUUUUGGUUUCAUGGAGGAACAUUCUGCCCCUUCCCUUUUACCCUACCCCUACUAGCACUGCCCUCCAUGUUCAUCGACCAAGUCAAUCUUUGGAGUUUCCGAUGCUUUUUUGAUUUUCCUUUAUCCUUUUGUUUGUGCCCUGCUUCAAUGGCUGUAAACAACGCCAUAAACUGCUCCUCAUACCCAUCACACUCAAGCCCCACUAUUUUUUGAAUUUCUUUCACUUUAUGAUAAACCCAAUCUGUUACAUUCGGUUGGGAUGGGAGGCAGAAUUUUCUUACUUUUAAAAGAAUUUUCUUACAAGCCAGGUUAUAAAAGAUUCCAUAAAACGAAAACAACCAAACUUUAUUAAAUAAAAGAGAUUUAUAGGUAGCAUAUAAAAAAAAAAUUCAAGUCUUGUGUUAAUUCAGAAAAUCACAUAUUAAAACCUAAAUUAAAACUGUUCUAAUAGUCUGUAAAAAAAAAAAAAAAAAAAAAAAAACUGUUCUAAUAGUCUAGGCCCUUUUUUUAUAAGUUAUAAAAGAGCAUUUUCAAUCACUUUUAGUUCAUUUAUAUAGUUACAUAUACAUUUUUUUUCCCUUUAAUCCACCAAUGGCCAGAAGUUGAUCCUCCUCCGUGAUGGGCAUACCCAGGUGCGCUGCUGGUGAGCCAUUCCAGGCAUUACAGUCCACCCUUUAUCUCUUGUACCGUAAAUAAUCAUUGUUAUGGCCCCUUUUCGAAAAACAUUUAUCUCAUGCAUUCAUUCAUUUUCUGUCCAAUCUUGAUCUUAUCCUUUCCUUAUUCUAAUUUCCUUUUCCUUUCUCCUUUUCCUUUCAUUUUUCCAUCUUUCAUUCCUUUAAUAUAUAAUGAUACAAUAAGUAUAUGAUGGCAAGUAAAAUCAUACAAUUCAUUCCAUUGCAUUCAUCAUGUUAUAUAAUAAUGAUAGGGUACAUUUACUUAUUACUUAUCCAAAAAUAAAAAAUAAUGAUAGGUUACAUGUAACAUGGGUUUCCAAUGAACAGUCUAUGCAUAGUAUAUCUUUCAAAACAUGUACAUAUCAUAUAGCUUCGCUAAAAGAGCAUUUUUGUUUAAAAAAUUAGCUAGAAGGGUAUGAUCAUAGUUGCUUACCACUUAGUUUUGUGCAAACAAUCAACAAUCACAUCAACAAGCAUCUAUUUAAAUCACAUAUAUAUCAUAAUAUCAAUUUCUAUCUAAACAUUGAUCCUUUAAAGGGGUGGCAGGCAAGAGGCCUUCUUGGGGUGAGCUGCUGCUAGCAAGAAUUUUCUAGGGCUAGGGAUUCUAGGCCAUUUCUGAGUUUCUGGCAAAACUGCAACACCCCGCUCCCCAACAUUAAGAAAGACAUUUUUUUUUAGAAAAUCACAGGAGCCGGUGUGCUACUACUGAACCUGACUUAAAAAUAUAUUUGUUUUUUUAAGAAUCAAGGGAGUCGUUUUGUAUUAAAAUAUUGAAAUUAUAAAUGAGAGUGCGCAAAAGUAUUUAUUAAAAUUUCUCAAAGUCCAUGCCAUAAAAAUCAUAACUUAAAAUCUUUGUACAUGAUCUAGGCCAUUACACACCUCCUUGGACUAAGUCCCGUCCUGCAGCUCUACCUUCAUAAAUAUUCUGACCUAUGGUGGUUUAAAAACAUAAAGCAACUAAAAUUAGUCGAUGACUCUGUAAGAAACCCAUCAUCACGUUAAAAUGCUUAUACAUAAGGUUUUUCAUAAAAUAUUUCAUGCUGAGAACUUAAAAUAUGACUGUCCAUACUUAUGCUAUGACAUGCAUGAUUUAUCUUGGCAUAUCUGACUUAUCUUAUCGUACUUGUCCACACACUUAACCUUAUGUGCAAGGCUGUGCACUGGCCCCACAUCCCGCCCACAAGGGGAGCUGCUAAUAGUAUUCUAGUGGACCAAGCUUAGCUCCGUGACUUGCACAUCCACCCAUAUAUCAUAUUGGUACCAUGUAUCUAAAUGGUCAUUUGAUUAACUGUUCUAAGCUUAUCUUACACUUGAUUUUAUGAAAACUUACGUAUCUUAUGCAACAUAAGAUGCAUAAUACAUACAUAACUAUAAUAUGCGAAAUGAAAUAUGAUGAAUAACGUGCUUGCAAAUAUCAUGACAUGCGUGGUACAUAAAUAUCGGCUUUCAAAGAAUGGGCUUUAAUAAUAAUACAUAUAACUAGCUAACGUAUGUUAAUCCUAAUUUAUGAUCAAGGUACUUACCCUGUAGUGUUGCUUCAUAAAAUUUCCGACACAAAAUUAAUCACGAUGUGAUGUAGGGACGAUAGUGGUUGUGACUAGGAGGAAGGAAGAGACAAUGGUGGCCUUACCGUGUCUCAUGGUGGGGGAGAUGAGGCUACGGCAUGCUGAAGGUAAAAAGAGAGCUAAAAACAACAAAGCCUAGGCUUGAAGAGAUUGGUGCAUGUACAGUUUGCACGGGACUCUAUUUAUAGGAUUUUAUAAUAUGCGAGUGAUGGUAUGGGUUGGGUUUAGGAAUUUUAAGGUGAGGACUCGUCAACCUUCCAAAGCAAAGAAUUGCUUAACAUUAUUUUUUGCUUGAUUUUAUUGAAGAACCCCAAUCUGAAAAGCACAAGAAUUAAGACUUCUACUCCUUAUAAAUAACAAACUAGCAUAAAGAUAAUGUUUGAAACUCUGUAUGAAACUAAACCAACAAUGGAGAAGUAUCUCCUUAUUCAAAUAUUAAAAGGCUUCUAAUUAAACCACAAUUCCAUGUCCAGGCAUUCCAUGAUAACCAUGCAGCUGAAAUAUCACGCCUAUAGAUAUAACAACUCAGAGUCUCAGACCGAGCUUUCCUCCAAACUGGAUUGUAGGAAAUUUCUCCCAACCCAUUUAAAAAAUUCUCACGUGCCCCUUGAACAUAUGAAAUCAUACUUUUUUAAUGAACGGGCACAUGAUGUCUUUUUUAGUUAGACUUUUAGAAAAUCAUGUGUGUCUCACAUGCUUAAUGAACAUUUGCCAUAUUUAUAGAUGGGUUGGAGGAAAGUUUCUCCAACCUAGGUUAUAGGAAAACUUGUACUAACAGUCCGGGACCCUUUAAGGAUCCUUGCACUCAAGGUCCUAAUUAUUCUCAACCUCAUGAACGUUUCAGACGCUUCUGAGGUUGUCGUUUUGAGUGCUCCUUUGUCUCUCCAAUUUUCCUUUGCUGCUUUCUUUUACCACUGCACUCCCUUGUGCUUUGUCGUACAUGAGGGGGUUUGGUUGAAUAGAGUUGGACUGAAGCCGUUUGUGAUGCUUUGAGCUGCUUCUCUAUUGUUGGGGCUUCAUCGCAAUAGAAUUGAUUUUCUUUUUGCACGAGCAGGGCCAAAUAUGGUGGUUGGCCAUCCACAUGGUGGCCGUUUGACUUGAAAUACUGUGGUGUAGUACGUUCUUGUAACACUCCUUCUCAUGGAUUAGGAACGUUAUGUACUUUCGCGACUUACUCAGUACGAGACUUCACAUAAUAAAUUGCCUCAUAUUAUUGAAAUCAUAAACCAUAACGUAUGAAGUCUUAAAAACUGAAAGUAAUCUCAUAAGACGAAAUUUAGAGAUAAUCCCAUUUGUAAAGACACUUGCUAAGUUUGGAAUUUCUGUAAAACGGGUCAUGUUUGGAUACCAAGAAUGUUUGGAAAUAUUUUUUUUAUAAGAAAAAAAUUUAUUUAUUUUUUGAUAAGAAGUGUUUUUGUUUGGAAGGUUUGGAAAUAUUUGAUAAGUGUGAGAAUUUGUUUGAGAUUAGGUUUUGUGAAAUGAGCGAGAAAAAGUGGAAUAAAAAUAUUUUUUAAAAUAAGUAUUGUAUUGAAGUUUGUGAAAGUGGAUACAUAAAGUUAAAAAGUUGUUUGAAUAUAUUUUAUAAUAUUAUUUUUGUUUUGAAGUUUGUAAAAGUUGUAUUGAUUUUUGUGUUUGAGUAAUGAUUAGAUGAAAAGUUUAAAAUUUGAAUUAGAAAAGUAUUUUGUGUUUAAGUGAUGUUUGAGGAUGAAGUAAUGAGAAAUUUUGGAAAUUUAGUGAGCGCAAUUCUGAUCAUCUUCGUGCUUUAAGACCACUUCUACUGUAUUUUGAAGCUGUCUCGGGGUUAAGAGUUAAUUUAUCCAAAUCUGAAAUAGUUCCUAUGGGUUCCAUUCAGAAUAUUUCAAACCUGGCCAAUAUAUUGGGUUGUAGAAUUUCUUCGCUUCCUAUGAGAUAUCUCGGUCUUCGAUUGGGGCUUCACAUAAAUCAGUUACUAUUGGGAUUGGGUGAUAGAGAAAAUUGAAAAGAGGUUAGCUGGUUGGAAAAUGAUUUACUUGUAUGAAGGGGGAAGAUUAAUAACUUUGAUAAAAAGUACUUUCUAAUCUUCCUACUUAUUUUAUAUCUCUUUUCUCCUUGCUGGCAAGGAUAGAAAGAAGAAUUGAGAGUUUAUAUCAGAAUUUUUUGUGGGGUGGUAAAGGAGAAGAAAAAAAGUUUCAUUUGGUUAGUUGGAAAAAAGGUUUGUCAACCGAUUAAUUGUGGUGGGUUGGGGAUAAAAAACUUGAGAUUGUUUAAUAGAGAACUACUUGGGAAAUGGCUUUGGAGAUAUCACUUGGAGAGAAAUGCCUUUCCCCUUUUUAACAUCUCCUUUCAAUUUGUACAUAUUUCCCCUUCCUCUGUUUUGGUUUCUAGCGUUAUCCUAAUUACAAUUAAAACCCCAUUUUAUACCACAAACAUUGUCUUGGAUUGCUUGCUCCUAAUUGUUAUCACCUUUCUCCGGGUUCAAACUCAGAUUAGGAUCUCCCUUAGAAGUCCCUUUGCCUACUUCAAUAUCAUGACAGUUGGAAGGGCUUGCUAGACCCUUAUCCUUGUUCAAUUUGUCAGUUUUCUCUGUUUGAUUUCCCACCUACCCUGUUAGAUUUUGAGCAUUCACUCCGUUGUCCUUUGGUCUCUGGUUUGACCUUAGGUUCUCUUUUCCUUUGCCUUUUGAGGCAAUCCUACAAACACCAGGAGGUCUCCUUGGUGCCUACAUAAUGAGCAGGAAACCUGGACUCUUUUGUAUAUAUUGUCUGCUAGAAUCCUUUGGACUAUGCUAUAACUGCUACUUUUGAUGUAUUCACCACCAACGUCUUCAAACUCUAUGCUAGGGAUGGAUCUAGAAAUCGUCUGUCUAGAGAGAAAAAACUCACGUAUGAUGGCGAUGAAUUUAUUUUGGUAUUUUCCGUUUAACUUGAGUGAUUAGCCUGUGAGACCAAAAGAAAAACCAAGAUUUGAAGAUUGUUAAGAGUUUUGCUCAAUGUUUUUAAAUACUAAUUUUGUCCUGCACAUUGAUCCAACAUGAAUUAGAUGAUACAUUUUGAUCCUGGUUCGGUUUUUUAGUUGGGUAGAGACUUUGACAUACCCUCACUCACGCCUCUCCCCAUUCCAAGUGUGCAAUAGGAUCAAGAGAAAACCUUCUAGUUGGUACAUCUGAAGUAGUCCUGAGAACAGCAUCCAAUAAAACAAGGCCGCGUAGCACACUCAUUACAGAAGGAAUGAUAUCCACUGCACCCAAGCUCUCUCUCUUCGAAAAUGUCCAGUACAGAAGCUCAUCUCUUCUCUAUUGUCUCUCUCCAAAUCACACCGAAGAACGCGUCUCUUCUCACUCAUCAAAUACCCAUCGCAAAUCCUCCAACUCGCCUGUCUCAGAAAUCCUCUUGCUCGUCUCUCUCUCUCAUCGAUGCCAGCCAGCCCAAGAGUGGGCACCGAAGCUCGUCUCUCUCUCUCUCUCUCAUCGAAAACGUAUGUUUCAAAAGCUCAACUCUCCCUCUUUCUCGUCUGUCUCUCCCAAUCACACCGAAAAACUCGCCUCAUCUCUCAUCCAAUACCCAUCGACACCAGCCACCCCAAGAGUGGUGUGGAAAGAUGUUGACGGUGUUUUAACAUGUGAUCCUAACAUACUCACAAGCAGAACCAGUGCCAUAUUUGACAUUUGAAGAGGCUGCUGAACUUGCAUAUUUUGCCAACCAGGAAUCAUGAUCUUAUACCUUAUUACCCAGUCAAGUUGUGGAGUACAGCUUCAACGAAGGAACGACAGGAUACAUGAUGAACAUGUCAGGAAAGAACAAGCCAAAUUACAAUUACAAGCCAUAGAGAAGAAGUACAAGGGAACCAUGAUAGCGUUGUUCUUGUCGUUGUUUUUUAUUGUGAUUGUAAGUUUUAUGUAUCCGAGGAAAAAUGGCAUAUGUCAGUCAUUGCUGAGACUCAUGUAAUCAUUAAGUCAUUUGCUGUAAUGUUUAGAGCACUUUUUGCAAGUUUUAUGUAGACUUUGGGGUGGCAACAAUCUAAUUUAUACAACCUGACUUUUUUGUA